rnacentral:rRNA from 1 species
CAGUCGAACGGUGAACACGGAGCUUGCUCUGUGGGAUCAGUGGCGAACGGGUGAGUAACACGUGAGCAACCUGCCCCUGACUCUGGGAUAAGCGCUGGAAACGGCGUCUAAUACUGGAUAUGUGACGUGACCGCAUGGUCUGCGUCUGGAAAGAAUUUCGGUUGGGGAUGGGCUCGCGGCCUAUCAGCUUGUUGGUGAGGUAAUGGCUCACCAAGGCGUCGACGGGUAGCCGGCCUGAGAGGGUGACCGGCCACACUGGGACUGAGACACGGCCCAGACUCCUACGGGAGGCAGCAGUGGGGAAUAUUGCACAAUGGGCGCAAGCCUGAUGCAGCAACGCCGCGUGAGGGACGACGGCCUUCGGGUUGUAAACCUCUUUUAGCAGGGAAGAAGCGAAAGUGACGGUACCUGCAGAAAAAGCGCCGGCUAACUACGUGCCAGCAGCCGCGGUAAUACGUAGGGCGCAAGCGUUAUCCGGAAUUAUUGGGCGUAAAGAGCUCGUAGGCGGUUUGUCGCGUCUGCUGUGAAAUCCGGAGGCUCAACCUCCGGCCUGCAGUGGGUACGGGCAGACUAGAGUGCGGUAGGGGAGAUUGGAAUUCCUGGUGUAGCGGUGGAAUGCGCAGAUAUCAGGAGGAACACCGAUGGCGAAGGCAGAUCUCUGGGCCGUAACUGACGCUGAGGAGCGAAAGGGUGGGGAGCAAACAGGCUUAGAUACCCUGGUAGUCCACCCCGUAAACGUUGGGAACUAGUUGUGGGGUCCAUUCCACGGAUUCCGUGACGCAGCUAACGCAUUAAGUUCCCCGCCUGGGGAGUACGGGCCGCAAGGCUAAACUCAAAGGAAUUGACGG